UUCCGGUUGAUCCUGCCGGAGGUUACUGCUAUUGGUGUUCGACUAAGCCAUGCAAGUCAUAUGUUCCUCGUGAACAUGGCAUACUGCUCAGUAACACGUGGAUAACCUGCCCUUGGGUCUGGGAUAACCCCGGGAAACUGGGGAUAAUACCGGAUAACGCAUAUGUGCUGGAAUGCUUUAUGCGUAAAACGGAUUCGUCCGCCCAAGGAUGGGUCUGCGGCCUAUCAGGUAGUAGUGGGUGUAAUGUACCUACUAGCCAACAACGGGUACGGGUUGUGAGAGCAAGAGCCCGGAGAUGGAUUCUGAGACAUGAAUCCAGGCCCUACGGGGCGCAGCAGGCGCGAAAACUUUACAAUGCGGGAAACCGUGAUAAGGGAACACCGAGUGCCAGCAUCAUAUGCUGGCUGUCCAGAUGUGUAAACUACAUCUGUUAGCAAGGGCCGGGCAAGACCGGUGCCAGCCGCCGCGGAAACACCGGCGGCCCGAGUGGAGACCGUUAUUAUUGGG
rnacentral:rRNA from 1 species